GAGGGUAUAGCUCAAAGUGGUAGAGCGCACGCUUAGCGUGCAUGAGGUCCUGGGUUCAAUCCCCAGCACCUCCU
rnacentral:tRNA from 1 species